ACGACAUGUGGACGACGUCGGUCUACUGAGCAUUCGCUCGGUGGAAGAUCUUUCCUUUGUCGU
rfam:Bombyx mori DNA, contig: Bm_scaf131_contig39105, strain: p50T/Dazao, build 2, whole genome shotgun sequence.